rnacentral:lncRNA from 1 species
UUUAUUUUUACGAUGAAAGUAAUUCUGAUGAUUCUAAUAAAAAAGUGCUUGUGGGAGAAGCUCAAAUUAUCUUAAGACUAAAGGCUUCGUUUGGGAUUGCGGGGAGAUUGCGUGACGUGCGGUGAGAAAGUACGAUGGAAAAAUAUUCUGUUUGUUUUCGUAUGUAAUAUUAUAUUCCGCAUAUUGCGAUGAGUCAGUUAUAAUAUAUUUUCUGCUGUCCCAUCGGAGAAUACAGAAGCAUAUAGGGCCUAUAUGCUUUUUUCUUAAGUCCAUUUUAUCUAAUAGCGUCAAAUAGACCU